GUGGGGAAUCUUCCGCAAUGGACGAAAGUCUGACGGAGCGACGCCGCGUGAGUGAAGAAGGCCUUCGGGUCGUAAAGCUCUGUCAUCAGGGACGAACGGCCGGUGGAGUGGAAAGCCACCGGAUUGACGGUACCUGAGAAGGAAGCCACGGCUAACUACGUGCCAGCAGCCGCGGUAAUACGUAGGUGGCAAGCGUUGUCCGGCAUUAUUGGGCGUAAAGCGCGCGCAGGUGGGAUCUUAAGUCCAUUUUUAAAGUUCGGAGCUCAACUCCGUGAUGGGAUGGAAACCGGGAUUCUUGAGUACCGGAGAGGAAAGCGGAAUUCCCCGUGUAGCGGUGAAAUGCGUAGAUAUGGGGAGGAACACCAGUGGCGAAGGCGGCUUUCUGGACGAAAACUGACGCUGAGGCGCGAAAGCCAGGGGAGCGAACGGGAUUAGAAACCCCUGUAGUCC
rnacentral:rRNA from 1 species